UAGCACAUAAACAUGUUAAUGAUAGAGAUAACUCUUUUUCACUCAUUAUUAAGGCAUUGCCAAAACACAUUAAAACCCCAAAAAAAAAAAAAAAAAAAGAAGUUAAAACUGUAAUUUGAAUCCCAAAAUACUUUUACACCUUAAAUUAAUUAAAACAUCAUAUUCUACAGGUAGUUCUAGGUAUAGGGUUAUUGCACGCUUAAAGUAUUGACAGACACACCUGUAAGCAAAGACCAUUUAAGCGGUUAAACGUUUUUCAUCUAGGACAUUAAAUGCAAUUUCCUAAACAAUACAUAAGUAUGUUGUUUAAGCAAG
rnacentral:lncRNA from 1 species